rnacentral:rRNA from 1 species
UACGGGGGGGGGCAAGCGUUGUUCGGAAUUACUGGGCGUAAAGGGCUCGUAGGUGGCCAACUAAGUCGGACGUGAAAUCCCCUCGGCUUAACCGGGGAACUGCAUCCGAUACUGGAUGGCUUGAGUUCGGGAGAGGGAUGCGGAAUUCCAGGUGUAGCGGUGAAAUGCGCAGAUAUCAGGAGGAACACCGGUGGCGAAGGCGGGUCUCUGGGCCGAUACUGACGCUGAGGUGCGAAAGCGUGGGGGAGCAAACAGG